rnacentral:rRNA from 1 species
UACGUAGGGUGCAAGCGUUAAUCGGAAUUACUGGGCGUAAAGCGUGCGCAGGCGGUUUUGUAAGUUUGCGUGAAAGCCCCGGGCUCAACCUGGGAAUGGCGAUGAAGACUGCAAGGCUUGAAUCUGGCAGAGGGGGGGUAGAAUUCCACGGUGUAGCAGUGAAAUGCGUAGAGAUGUGGAGGAACACCGAUGGCGAAGGCAGCCCCCCUGGGCUGAGAUUGACGCUCAGGCACGAAAGCGUGGGGAGCAAACAGG